UGAAGAUAAUUGUUUAAUAUAUAUAUGGUA
rnacentral:piRNA from 1 species